AUUAACGCUGGCAGAGUGCAUAACACAUGCAAGUUGAGCGGGGUCUGUAAGCGUAUCGCAGAUCUAGCGGCAGACGAGUGAGUAACACGUAAGCAACCUGCCCCUGAAUGGUGAAUAACGCCGCGAAAGCGGUGCUAAUACGCCGUACGAUCCCUGGAGGGCAUCCUCCGGGGAUGAGAGGCCCGCAAGGGUCGUUCAGGGAGGGGCUUGCGGCCCAUCAGCUAGUUGGUGAGGUAACGGCCCACCAAGGCUAUGACGGGUACCCGGCCUGAAAGGGCGAACGGGCACGAAGGCACUGAGACACGGGCCUUACUCCUACGGGAGGCAGCAGUGGGGAAUUUUGGACAAUGGGCGAAAGCCUGAUCCAGCAACUCUGCGUGAGGGAUGAAGUCCUUCGGGAUGUAAACCUCUUUUGCUAGGGACGAACGCCCGCAAGGGUCUGACGGUACCUGGCGAAUAAGCCACGGCUAACUACGU
rnacentral:rRNA from 1 species